rnacentral:rRNA from 1 species
GAGUUUGAUCGUGGCUCAGGAUGAACGCUGGCGGCGUGCUUAACACAUGCAAGUCGAACGAAGCUGCUUAACUGAUCUUCUUCGGAAUUGACGUUUUGUAGACUGAGUGGCGGACGGGUGAGUAACGCGUGGGUAACCUGCCCUGUACAGGGGGAUAACAGUCAGAAAUGACUGCUAAUACCGCAUAAGACCACAGCACCGCAUGGUGCAGGGGUAAAAACUCCGGUGGUACAGGAUGGACCCCGCGUCUGAUUAGCUGGUUGGUGAGGUAACGGCUCACCAAGGCGACGAUCAGUAGCCGAUCUGAGAGGAUGUACGGCCACAUUGGGACUGAGACACGGCCCAGACUCC